rnacentral:lncRNA from 1 species
UUGACCGCUCUCUCACGGCGGAGCUAGGGCUCCUCUCACCGGUCCAGGGACGUUGCUGGGUUGGAGGUCGUCGAUUGGGACCGGUGCGGCGGCGGUUGGUGGCCGGACGGCGGCGGGAGGGCAGCCGGAAAAUCGGGCAGCGAAAUGCUCGGGUGCGGAGAGGAAAUCGGGAGGGAGAGAGAAAGAAAAGAAGAAGAAAUGGGUUGGGCUCGGCCCAGCCGACCCAACACUCCCUUAUAACCCAAACUUUCAAAAUUCAACACCCCGAAAAAUAAUACCCGAAUAAAAAUUACCUUUUACUAGCUAAAAUUUACUAUUUUUACCGUCGUCGUAUUUUCUUCAUACUAAUAAUCCUCCGCACAUAAUCGUCCCCGAAACCCCUCUAGGGACCAAUUAAACUAUUUACUCAAUGACGGAGACGGUAAAAUUCUUAUUAUAAUCACGCUAGUAAAUAAGGUAAAAAUAUAAGGGUCGGGAUGUGACAUUAUAUCUGACCUAUGUUGCAUGGACACUCCACACCUCUAGAGCCGACACGCUGACACGGCGCCCGACACGGCAAAAUCCGUGUCCGACAUGCCACGUGGCGUGUCCAAAAAAGUUGACUUUUCCGACACGUCAUGAACACGUUGACCAGCUCUGACACGCCACGUCAGCAUUUCAGAAUUAAAUAUAUAUAUAUAUAUAUAUAUAUAUUAGCUAACUGGGGCACGCUCAGCACUAGCAGAGACGGAUUCGAUCUCUUGACUCUUCUCUCCUCUGAUUCGAUCUCUUGACGCAACACGCGCAGCCCAUCGGAAAAUUGUUUUAGCUCCUUCGCGAUGGCUGGUUCUGAAAAACGAGCUUAGGUCCUUGCCGGAUCAAGUCAUUGGGUAGAGCAACGAGUUCAGGAUUCAAAGUUGCAGUGGCUCGACGCGUCAACGCUGACGAACACAGCAGCCUUGUGAACCUGGGAGCAAAUUUGAUCACAGAUCGGGGCUUCAAGGAAAAGAUUGCAGAUGGAAGAGAGAGGGAGCAGCUUGUGGUGACUGGUGAGAGAGACAAUGUUCCAUGUUAUUUGAAACUGAAAUUUGAUUUAAGUGUGAAGAAGAGAGGUGGAUUGUUUCUGUAUCCAAAAAGAAAAGAUGUGGAUAGGAUUGGUGGGGUUUCAUCUGAUACAGAGAGGGGGAGGGGUAUUGGGUCAGGAAUAAAGAGAGAGAGCGGUUGGGUGUUCUCACGCAAAAGAAAAAAAAAAUAAAAAAUAUAUUAUAAUUUUUUAUUUCAUCUUUUUAGUAUUUUUUUAUAUAUUAAAAAUACAUAAAAAUAUGUAUUAUUUGCCGUGUCCAAGCCGUGUCAGAUCUUGAGUUUUUUGGGAUUUGCCCUAGUCGCCGUGUCGCUCCGUGUCGUGUCGCCGUGUCGCUCUGUAUCGUGUCGCCGUGUCCGUGUUC